GGGGAAUAUUGGACAAUGGGCGCAAGCCUGAUCCAGCAAUGCCGCGUGAGUGAUGAAGGCCUUAGGGUUGUAAAGCUCUUUCACCCACGACGAUGAUGACGGUAGUGGGAGAAGAAGCCCCGGCUAACUUCGUGCCAGCAGCCGCGGUAAUACGAAGGGGGCUAGCGUUGUUCGGAAUGACUGGGCGUAAAGGGCGCGUAGGCGGUUGACCAAGUUGGGGGUGAAAGCCCGGGGCUUAACCUCGGAAUUGCCUCCAAAACUGGUCGGCUUGAGUGUGGAAGAGGGUUGUGGAAUUCCCAGUGUAGAGGUGAAAUUCGUAGAUAUUGGGAAGAACACCAGUGGCGAAGGCGACAACCUGGUCCAUUACUGACGCUGAGGCGCGACAGCGUGGGGAGCAAAC
rnacentral:rRNA from 1 species